CCUACGGGUGGCUGCAGUAAGGAAUAUUGGUCAAUGGGCGAAAGUCUGAACCAGCCAUGCCGCGUGAAGGAUGAAGGUCCUCUGGAUUGUAAACUUCUUUUAUCUGGGACGAAAAAAGGGAAUUCUUUCUCACUUGACGGUACCAGAAGAAUAAGCACCGGCUAACUCCGUGCCAGCAGCCGCGGUAAUACGGAGGGUGCAAGCGUUAUCCGGAUUCACGGGUGCGUAGGGGUGCGGUGAAGGGCGUGGAGAAAUCUCCGGGCUUAACCCGGAAACUGCCAUUGAUACUAUCUGUCUUGAAUACUCUGGAGGUAAGCGGAAUAUGUCAUGUAGCGGUGAAAUGCUUAGAUAUGACAUAGAACACCGAUUGCGAAGGCAGCUUACUACGGAGUCAUUGACACUGAGGCACGAAAGCGUGGGGAUCAAACAAGAUUAGAUACCCGAGUAGUC
rnacentral:rRNA from 1 species